rnacentral:rRNA from 1 species
CGGGACGGGUGAGUAAUGUCUGGGAAACUGCCUGAUGAGGGGGAUGACUACUGGAAACGGUAGCUAAUACCGCAUAACGUCGCAAGACCAAAGAGGGGGACCUUAGGGCCUCUUGCCAUCGGAUGUGCCCAGAUGGGAUUAGCUAGUAGGUGGGGUAACGGCUCACCUAGGCGACGAUCCCUAGCUGGUCUGAGAGGAUGACCAGCCACACUGGAACUGAGACACGGUCCAG